UACGAAAGGGGCUAGCGUUGUUCGGAAUUACUGGGCGUAAAGCGCACGUAGGCGGCCUUGUAAGAUGGGGGUGAAAUCCCUGGGCUCAACCCAGGAAUUGCCUUCAUGACUGCAAAGCUCGAGGAUGUGAGAGGUUGGCGGAAUUCCGAGUGUAGAGGUGAAAUUCGUAGAUAUUCGGAAGAACACCAGUGGCGAAGGCGGCCAACUGGCACAUUUCUGACGCUGAGGUGAGAAAGCGUGGGGAGCAAACAGG
rnacentral:rRNA from 1 species